rnacentral:lncRNA from 1 species
GAGAAGCAGAACUGGCUGAGUUACCAGGACCAUCUGUCCUAUCUCCCCCAGGUCGUCAGACGAGGUGUCCAGGUGUGGAAGGGCAGUGUCCCACCUUGUCAAGCCUUCCAAAGUCAAACAAAGAUGGGCUUUGCAUGAUCUGGUUCCGGUGGCCAGGGAGCUGGGUUCCCCUGGCUCUUCUUUUUUUUUUUUUUUUUUUGAGAGGGAAUCUCGCUCUGUCGCCCAGGCUGGACUGCAGUGGCGCGAUCUCAGCUCACUGCAAGCUCUGCCUCCUGGGUUCACACCAUUCUCCUGCCUCAGCCUCCCGAGUAGCUGGGACUACAGGCGCCCGCCACCAUGCCUGGCUAAUUUUUUUUUUUUUUGUAUUUUUAGUAGAGACGGGGUUUCACCAUGUUAGCCAGGAUAGUGCUCCUGACCUCAGGUGAUCCACCUGCCUCAGCUUCCCAAAGUGUUGGGAUUACAGGCGCAAGCCACUGUGCUGCAAACUAUGCACUGAUCCUCUAGUUUCCAUGGUGGGGCGGCCAGGCCAGCAGGGGUUUCCAGACAGUCUGGGUCCUGGGGUCCCUGGGGCAGGGGGCAGAUCAGCUCCCCGAGUAGCUGGGAUUACAGGCAUGCACCACCACACUCAGCUAAUUUU